UGGACCAUAGGGAAGUCCUGCAAUCAGAACAUGUUCAUCGCCCAGUUAAGCAAUCGUGGCAAGGAAGGUCUCCAUUCACUCAGCCCUGGAUGGAAUGUACUUCACGUGCUGACUCAGAGGACACAUGACUCUGUGGGAAUCCAGCCGCCAUGCUGUAAGGACACUCAAGCAGCCCCAAAGAGAUCCACGUCAAGAGGAUGUGACCAACAGCCAAGAGCCAGCAACAAUUUGCCAGCCAUGGAAGUGGAUCCCCAGCCCUAGUAAAGCUUUCAGAUGACUUACCCGACACCUGACAGCAACCUCACUGGAUAUCCCAAACAGAACCACUCAGGUAAGCCACUCCUGAAUUCCUAACCCACAGAAACUCUACGCGAUAAUAAAUUC